rnacentral:rRNA from 1 species
CCUACGGGUGGCAGCAGUCGAGAAUCAUUCACAAUGGGGGAAACCCUGAUGGUGCGACGCCGCGUGGGGGAAUGAAGGUCUUCGGAUUGUAAACCCCUGUCAUGUGGGAGCAAAUUAAAAAGAUAGUACCACAAGAGGAAGAGACGGCUAACUCUGUGCCAGCAGCCGCGGUAAUACAGAGGUCUCAAGCGUUGUUCGGAAUCACUGGGCGUAAAGCGUGCGUAGGCUGUUUCGUAAGUCGUGUGUGAAAGGCGCGGGCUCAACCCGCGGACGGCACAUGAUACUGCGAGACUAGAGUGAUGGAGGGGGAACCGGAAUUCUCGGUGUAGCAGUGAAAUGCGUAGAUAUCGAGAGGAACACUCGUGGCGAAGGCGAGUUCCUGGACAUUAACUGACGCUGAGGCACGAAGGCCAGGGGAGCGAAAGGGAUUAGAUACCCGAGUAGUC